GGUAAUAUGGCCGAGCAAAGGCAGUGGGCUGUAGACCCAUGCACAGGAAGUAAACCCUUAUUACCAAG
rnacentral:tRNA from 1 species